ensembl:snRNA U6 U6 spliceosomal RNA
GUGCUUACUUCAGCAGCAUGUAUGCUAAAACUGGAAGGAUACAAAGAAGAUUAACAUGGCCCCUGCGAAGAAUGACGCACACAUUCCUGAAGCAGUCCAUAUUUUU